rnacentral:rRNA from 1 species
GGACCGACCUUCGGGAGCCUAUACAGGUGUUGCAUGGCUGUCGUCAGCUCGUGUCGUGAGAUGUUCGGUUAAGUCCGCUAACGAGCGCAACCCUCGUCGUAUGUUAUAUGUGUCAUACGAGACUGCCGGUAAAAAGCCGGAGGAAGGUGAGGAUGAUGUCAAGUCAGCAUGACCUUUAUAUCCAGGGCUACACACACGCUACAAUGGUCUGUACAAUGGGUAGCCAAGCCGCGAGGCGGAGCCAAUCCUGAAAGCAGGCCUCAGUUCAGAUUGCAGUCUGCAACUCGACUGCAUGAAGCCGGAGUUGCUAGUAACCGCAGGUCAGCAAUACUGCGGUGAAUACGUUCCCGGGUCUU